UGCUGCUGCUGCUGCUGCUGGUGACACACGGGGCCCGGCCGGUGACGCAGGUGCCCCCUCCCUCACUGCCCGGGGUAACGGUCCGGUGCACUGAUUGACCCCGCCUGCAUACCGCCCAGAAUCUCUGUGGAGGAGCAGGUGAAGGGCUGGGCUGCCAUGCAGGGGUGCCCGUGUGGUGAUGCCUGGAUUUCCUGCAGAAGACUGCAAGCAACUUGACUAUGAAACGUUUAUGGUUUCUAUGGUGAUUUGGACGUGUGUCGCGUCACUAUGUGAUUACAUCAUCGACCUGCGCCUGACCGUGUUUCAGUUUCGUCAGGGUGGCACUUUACAUUGGGUUUAUAAGGAGCUGUGAGGUGGGUGCCUUCUUGUAUCCUUGAUCAGCCUGAAAGAGGGAGCCUGCCUGGCACUCCUGCUCUUUUGUACCUCCCAGGUAACUCUCCUCCCCCUCUUACCUAUAGGAUGCUGCUAUGCUACCUGCUCUAUCCCCCCCCCCCCCCCUCCCCUCCCCUCCCCUUUUCUCUCCCUCCUUGCCCUAGGCUCCUUCUUUAAAAAACCCAGGACGCUUAUUUAUUCUCGGGCCUAGUUUGUCCCUCGAAUUCUUUUAAUUGAGAAAAAGUGGAUGCAAUGACUGUAUUUACUGAUGUAAACUAUUGUUUACACUAUUGUUGUGAGGCCGCAAAGUCCUUUUCGAUCAACAGGAGAACUUAUAAUGGGGCUUAGUUUGCACACUCCAGUUGGACUUCUGUGGGAAAGAUAAUUUAAGGUGCACGGUGUAAUAUAAAGCUUCAACCACAACAAUCAUACGAAAUAAGCCCCGACGUUCCCUUACACAUGAUUUAUCUAAGUAAAGUGAUACUUUUGGAAAAAACUGCAAGGUUAACGAGGGGACGAGCAGUAGGCUGCACUUUCAUGUGUCACCAGCGUAAUCUGCCAAAUCUGCACAAACUGUAGAUGCUGAAAGAUUUUACAGGGGUCUAUCCCAAAAUCGUAAAAUGUGUGUGCCCCUUGAAUUGCCCUAGAUGGACAAGUUGGUGCAUAGAAAAAACCAUCACGGAUCUGGAGUUUUUGCAAUUCCCAAAUUAUCCUGACCCUCGACUAGAUGAAAGCUAGCUGUUGGAUGGUAGCUACCGGUUACUGCACAUUUUAUUUCCCUAUAGAUUGUAAGCUUGCGAGCAGGGCCUUCCUACCUCUAGGUCUGUCUGUUUUUACCCAGUUUUGUUCUAUUACUGUUGUUCUAAUUGUAAAGCGCAACGGAAUAUGCUGCGCUAUAUAAGAAACUGUUACUAAAUAAAUAAAUAAAUACAUUUGCAGUGU